AUGGAUGGGCUCCGAGGGGCUUGCGGGAGGGGGGCGCCAGUGUUCGGGGCCGUUUUGGCGGCUAUGCAGGAUUGGCAGGAGCUGCGAUGCUCACACUUGCCUCGCCGACCGCCAUUUCACAUCCAGCAGAGGAGGCGGGGGCAGCCGCUGAGACGGUUUUUCACAAGAAAUUAUUUUAAUAGAGAUGAGGUCUCACUAUAUUGCCCAAGCUGGUCUCGAACUCCUGGGCUCAAGCGAUCUUCCUGCCUCAGCCUCCCAAAGUGCUGAGAUAACAGGUAUGAGCCACCAUGCCCUGCGAAAUUAUUCUUUUUGAGACAGAGUGAGACUCUGUCACCCAGGCUGGGGUGCAGUGACCCAAUCUCAACUCACUGCAGUCUUGACUUCCCAGGCUCAAGCAAUCCUCCCACCUCAGCCUCCUGAGUAGCUGGGACUACAGGCGUGCACCUCUACACCCAGCUAUUUUUCAUAUUUUUUUGGAGACAGGGUUUCACUAUAUUGCCCAGGCUGGUCUCGAACUCCUGAGCUCAAGUGAUCUGCCUGCCUUGGCCUCCCAAAGUGCUGGGAUUACAGGUGUGAGCCAUGGCGCCCAGCCUCAAGCUAAAUUAUUCUUUGUGUCAUCCCUUUUCUUUCCUUCACUUUCAGAUAACUCAGUUUUCUUAACUACUGUAGGGCAAAUGUCUGAGUCAUUUAGUUCAGUGUUCCUCAACCAGGGGUGAUUUUUGCCGCCCUAGGGGACAUUUGGCAAAAUAUCUGGAGGCAUUUUUGAUUAUCACAUCUUACAAUGCAUAGGGCAGCCCCUGCAGCGCAAAGAAUUAUCAGGUCCAAAGUGUCAAUAGUGCAGGUGUUGAAAAACCCUGGCCUAGUUUAAAGUAAAUUUGUACCCAGCCCUUCAUCCAGUCUCUUGCCUUUAUGAAACCAUGAUGGAAAAGAAACUCAUUCCCUUUCAGAGGCAUUUGGAAGGCCUAAGUAAGUACGGCAAACUUUGGAGUCAAUUGCAUCAACCAUACAAAGUCCCAAAAGGCUUUAUAUGCAGGUUUCUGCAAUUUCUCCAUAGAACCUUCCUGGGUACAAGGUAGGCACAUAAAUAUUUGUUGCCUAAAUGAAUAAUAAUAAAAUAAUUCUUGGCUAAAAGACAUAUUUUAUUUCUUUCUCUUUAAACCAAAGUCAGAUUUAUCAUGUGGUGAGAGAUGAAUUUCCUGAACAGAGAUCUCUCUAUUCAUUUUAACCAAUUAAUUUACUCAGUUACUCAGAGAAGCAAAACUUUUCUGAAACAACUUCCACUUCCAUAAGUUAGCAGUAAUAGUCUUAAGGAAGGAAUUGAUAGCCUAUAAAUUAAAGAUGAUGUUUGAGGAACAAGAAAUAAAAGAAACUUUCAGAAUAGAGUAAUAUUAGAACUGAUGCCUGAGCUUUCCAGGACCCUCAUUUAAAUUACAUAUCCAGAAUUGAUAUUGGAGCAUUUCCAAUGGAUUAUAUUAUAGAUAGGCAGGAGGAGACCAAACACACAUAGAGUAAGGAUAGAUAAAAUUCCCAAUUUAAAUAAUUAAGAUGCAAAAUCUCAGAAGCUAGGUAUCUAUUUGGAUCAACAUAUCUCAGGGUAGUUUCCCCUGGCCCCAAAGUUUAUUGCAUUUUAAUAUUCACAGUGUAAAUCACAUUCCAGAAAAACUCCCACUAAAAAGCUUUUUACUGAGACUGGGCAGGGUGGCUCAUGCCUGUAAUCCCAGUACUUUGGAAGACCAAGGUGAGAUUAUUGCUUGAGCCCAGAAGUUUGAGACCAGCUUGGGCAACAUAGUGAGACCUUGUCGCUACAAAAAAUUAACAAUUAGCCAGGCGUGGUGAUGUAUGCCUGUAGUCCCACUUACUCAGGAGGCUGAGGCAGGAGGAUCACUGGAGCCUAGGAAGUUGAAGCUGCAGUGAGCCAUGAUCACCACUGCACUCCAGCCUGGGUCACAGAGCAAGACCCUGUCUCAAAAAACACACACACAGAAAACUUUGUUAUUGACACUGGAUUCUCCUAGAUUUUGCUUUAUUUUACAUCCUCAUUCCAGAGGCCAGAAAAGACUACUUAUUCUCAGAUGUGUAAAUAUAGAUAAGUCCUUCUGUUUCUUCAUUUUCUCAAUAAAAUGUAUUUUUCCAAUUUUAAAAGUUUUUAAAUGCAUAGCAUGGAAAACAUGGAGGACAAUAAAGAAAAAUAUAGAACAUUCAG
rnacentral:lncRNA from 1 species